AGUAACACGUGGAUAACCUACCUAUAAGACUGGGAUAACUUCGGGAAACCGGAGCUAAUACCGGAUAAUAUUUUGAACCGCAUGGUUCAAAAGUGAAAGACGGUCUUGCUGUCACUUAUAGAUGGAUCCGCGCUGCAUUAGCUAGUUGGUAAGGUAACGGCUUACCAAGGCAACGAUGCAUAGCCGACCUGAGAGGGUGAUCGGCCACACUGGAACUGAGGCACGGUCCAGACUCCUACGGGAGGCAGCAGCA
rnacentral:rRNA from 1 species